CGGCUCGAAUACAAGUCCAUAAUCCAUAAUAACACUUCCUCCAGUGAAAAAGUGCAUCUACUGUCGUUUCUCACAUCAAAACCCUGACACGUGUGUUUACUUUAGACCUGUUUUUGGACUGUUUUGGCUU